rnacentral:rRNA from 1 species
UAGGUCCUACGGGGGGCAGCAGUGGGGAAUAUUGCACAAUGGGGGAAACCCUGAUGCAGCGACGCCGCGUGAGUGAAGAAGUAUUUCGGUAUGUAAAGCUCUAUCAGCAGGGAAGAAAAUGACGGUACCUGACCAAGAAGCCCCGGCUAACUACGUGCCAGCAGCCGCGGUAAUACGUAGGGGGCAAGCGUUAUCCGGAUUUACUGGGUGUAAAGGGAGCGUAGACGGCGGUGCAAGCCAGAUGUGAAAGCCCGGGGCUCAACCCCGGGACUGCAUUUGGAACUGUAUGGCUGGAGUGU